CACCUCCAGCUUCUAUCUUUUAUACAUCUUUUAGAAAAAAAUGUAGUGUGGCUUAUGUGAAUUGAAUUCUGGGCUUGAAUUUUUCUCACGCACUGACAGCAGAACCAACACUGAGGAAUCCAAAACAUCAUUGAUCUGUUUGCUUGCUCAUUGUUUUGUUGAUAUGCUGCUGGUUUCCAGUGCCCAGCCAGCUGGUGAGUACAUCAGUCAAGGAUGCAGUCUCUCAAGGGGGAGAAGCAGGGGAAGUCCAAGCAGCCAGAUCAGAGAUUGUAGUAUAUCCUCGAUACACUGGCCAAGAAGUUUCUUUCAUGAAGAGAAGAAACUCCAUUAUGUGGCUGAAGUUCUUCUUUGCAGCUGCUUGUCAUACUGA
rnacentral:lncRNA from 1 species